CUACGGGGGGCAGCAGUGAGGAAUAUUGCACAAUGGGGGGAACCCUGAUGCAGCAACGCCGCGUGGAGGAUGACGCAUUUCGGUGUGUAAACUCCUUUUAUAUGUCAAGAAAAUGACGGUAGCAUAUGAAUAAGCACCGGCAACUCCGUGCCAGCAGCCGCGGUAAUACGGAGGGUGCAAGCGUUACUCGGAAUCACUGGGCGUAAAGGACGCGUAGGCGGGUUGGAAAGUCAGGUGUGAAAUCCUACAGCUUAACUGUAGAACUGCACUUGAAACUUCUAAUCUAGAGUAUGGGAGGGGGAGAUGGAGUUAGUGGUGUAGGGGUAAAAUCCGUAGAUAUCACUAGGAAUACCUAAAGCGAAGGCGAUCUCCUGGAACAUUACUGACGCUAAGGCGUGAAAGCGUGGGGAGCAAACAGGAUUAGAUACCCGGGUAGUC
rnacentral:rRNA from 1 species